ACAAGGCUACUGCGUUGGUGACUGCCAAUCAAGUUUUUUGAUCUAUACUUGAAUUAUGAGGAAACCGACAGAUUUCCAGUGGUAGUAAACCGAGCUUUUGUACUCGGAAACGGAAACGGAAACGUUGGUCUCCACCUGGACAUACCAGGUCAUAAACUGAGGUAAAACGGCGUAGUGGUCUAUAA
rnacentral:other from 4 species